AACGAACGCUGGCGGCAGGCCUAACACAUGCAAGUCGAGCGAAGCCUUCGGGCUUAGCGGCGGACGGGUGAGUAACGCGUGGGAACGUGCCCUUUGCUACGGAAUAGCCCCGGGAAACUGGGAGUAAUACCGUAUGUGCCCUUCGGGGGAAAGAUUUAUCGGCAAAGGAUCGGCCCGCGUUGGAUUAGGUAGUUGGUGGGGUAAUGGCCUACCAAGCCGACGAUCCAUAGCUGGUUUGAGAGGAUGAUCAGCCACACUGGGACUGAGACACGGCCCAGACUCCUACGGGAGGCAGCAGUGGGGAAUUUUAGACAAUGGGGGAAACCCUGAUCUAGCCAUGCCGCGUGAUCGAUGAAGGCCUUAGGGUUGUAAAGAUCUUUCAGUGGGGAAGAUAAUGACUGUACCCACAGAAGAAGCCCCGGCUAACUCCGUGCCAGCCGCCACCGUAAAAC
rnacentral:rRNA from 1 species